rnacentral:rRNA from 2 species
GACGAACCGUGCGAACGUUGUUCGGAAUCACUGGGCUUAAAGGGCGCGUAGGCGGGCUGCCAAGUCCGGGGUGAAAGCCCCCCGCUCAACGGGGGAACGGCCUUGGAUACUGGCGGCCUGGAGGAAGGUAGGGGCAGAUGGAACUCUCGGUGGAGCGGUGAAAUGCGUAGAUAUCGGGAGGAACGCCGGUGGCGAAAGCGAUCUGCUGGACCUUUUCUGACGCUGAGGCGCGAAAGCCAGGGGAGCAAACGGG